AAGAGACUCCGACUCACAGCAGGCAAACGCAGCAUGCUGGAGGAAGAGGGGCGACAUCACGUGUGAGCUCGAGCUGAUCUGACAGGCACAUUCUCCCAGUGUCGACCACACAUUCAAAGUUGGGCUGGAGGAGCGGAGAGGUGCAGUGGGCGCGCCAGGCUGACGCGUCAGACAUGGACCAACGGAAUGAAGAGAACUUAUUGGUGCUCGGCUCGGAGCAGAAGAAGAAAGCUUUCAUUCAGAGAAAGCUGCCGAGUAAAAACCAAUUUCUCCGCUCUUGAUGCAGGUUGAUGACAGAAAGACUCAUAUGGACUCUGCUGCUCACUCAUCUCGUCUCAAUCUCGUCUCAAUCUCCAGCAACCCCAUAGUGACCAUCCUAUCC